rnacentral:rRNA from 1 species
GAUGAACGCUGGCGGCGUGCUUAACACAUGCAAGUCGAACGGGAAACCUUUUAUUGCAGCUUCGGCAGAUUUAGCUGGUUUCUAGUGGCGGACGGGUGAGUAACGCGUGGGUAACCUGCCUUAUACAGGGGGAUAACAGUCAGAAAUGGCUGCUAAUACCGCAUAAGCGCACAGAGCUGCAUGGCUCAGUGUGAAAAACUCCGGUGGGAUAAGAUGGACCCGCGUUGGAUUAGCUGGUUGGUGGGGUAACGGCCCACCAAGGCGACGAUCCAUAGCCGGCCUGAGAGGGUGAGCGGCCACAUUGGGACUGAGACACGGCCCAGACUCCUACGGGAGGCAGCAGUGGGGAAUAUUGCACAAUGGGGGAAACCCUGAUGCAGCGACGCCGCGUGAAGGAAGAAGUAUCUCGGUAUGUAAACUUCUAUCAGCAGGGAAGAUAAUGACGGUACCUGAAGAAGAAGCCCCGGCUAACUACGUG